UGGGGAAUAUUGGGCAAUGGGGGAAACCCUGACCCAGCAACGCCGCGUGAAGGAAGAAGGCCUUCGGGUUGUAAACUUCUUUUAGCAGGGACGAAGGACGUGACGGUACCUGCAGAAAAAGCAACGGCUAACUACGUGCCAGCAGCCGCGGUAAUACGUAGGUUGCGAGCGUUGUCCGGAAUUACUGGGUGUAAAGGGCGUGUAGGCGGAGCUGCAAGUCAGAUGUGAAAUGUCAUGGCUCAACCAUGGAACUGCAUUUGAAACUGUGGCCCUUGAGUAUCGGAGAGGCAAGCGGAAUUCCUAGUGUAGCGGUGAAAUGCGUAGAUAUUAGGAGGAACACCAGUGGCGAAGGCGGCUUGCUGGACGACAACUGACGCUGAGGCGCGAAAGCGUGGGGAGCAAACAGGAUUAGAUACCC
rnacentral:rRNA from 1 species